CGCCGCUCCACAAAGACCCGGGGAAACAAUGCGGCUUUCUUUGCAAGUUUCGAAGAAGCGAAUUCCACGCACCGUGUAACACGUAACCUCGGUGUCCGCGCAUCUGCCCGAGCCCCAGAGAUGCACAUAACGCCGCGCGCGGCGGCGAUGCGGGCCCCGGCAGGCUUUAAAUAGGAUGUCGCACGCUGUAGGUAAUAUUUGCAUCCCCCGUCGAGCAGAAGUGAUGCAAGAAAGUGUUCGCCUCAUUAGUUUGGUUCUCAUUUUGAGGGACGUGCCCAUCGGUUUUGGAUUAAAUGUUACAUCACCGAAGUCCAGAUUAUCUAAAAAAAAUGCACGUGGGGUCGGGGAAGCAUGUGAUAUUUUUGUCCGUGAAAAUACUGAAAAUGUUCAUCGUUUUACUCUUCGCUUUUCAGGCCGUUGUGUUUUAAAGCGUUUUUUCUUUCUUUCUUUCUUUCUUUCUUUUUUUUUGUAAUUUUCCUGUUAAGUGGUGCUUGCCCCUCGGAGCUGAGUGGACUUUGGUCCGGCUGAAGCGUUCCUGAUCCCUGCUGAACGGAGAGAGCUAUAGGGAGGGAGGGAGGGAGGGAGAGAACGAGCUGCGAGGGAGGAGGGGGAAGGCAAGAACAAGAGAGGAAGUGAGUGUUCAUUACAAAGUGCGCUUCUCGUUGUGGGCAUGCCCAGUAGAGUUCGCCUUGCAGCCCGAAAUCCAGCCUCUAAAUUUGAACAGGAGGGAUACGAGGUGACUGAGCAGACUUUUGUUGCUGCUCUCUUUCUCUUUUCUCUCCCUCUUUUCUCCCCCCUCUCUCCUCGCUCUCCCCCGUAAUGUUAUUUUUUCCCCUCCUCACCCAGUAGUAAGAGCGUGGAGAGAGAUUUUUUUUCUUUCUUUUUUUUUUCUCUUUUUUUGCCAUGGAAGAGCAAGAGGAGGUGCAGAAUUUCAGCUGGUGCAAAAGACAACAAGGGGGAAGUAAAGAAAAAUAAGAAGAGGAGGAGGAGGAGGAGGAGGAGGAGGAAAAAGGCAAGAGAGAGAAAGACUUCAACCCCCCCCACACACACACCCCCCCCCCUCCAUCUUCCUCUUCCUCACUCCCUCCUCCGCCAACGACUUUUACCUCAGAAAGAGCGGAGGGACCAACUUCAAAAGGCAGUCAGGAGGGAGCUGGAGUGUGAAACGUGAGGAGAGAAGCAAGAUGAGAGGCUGACCGGCUCUGCUGUGUUUGCUCUGCUGUCCAGGGAUUGGGAAGCAGACUGGGAAUUACAGGCAACACCUGGCAGCAAUCUCAGCAAGGAUGGCACAGCACGCUCUUGAAGGCUGAGGUGCAAAAAAAGGCAAGUGAGCAGGAAGAACAGCGUUGCGAUGGGGGCAUCCUGGAUCCUGAAAGGGAGGAAGCCCAAGUGUUGAUGACUGGAGGCCGAGGCAGAGCCCGUCUCAGUGUCGCCCUGCUGCAGGUCACGUUGGAUUUAAAGACAGGCUGGAAAUCCCCUGAUGAGUCAACAUUUAACACUUUGCUGCCAUGUCAACCAAAUAAGCUGCAAACACUUUUUUUUUUCUUUUCCCCUUUUCCUUUUUUUUUUGAAGGAAAAAGAGUUUAAAGCCUACGUUGGCUGCAGUUAACAUUUUGGAUAAUUUCUGCCUCGACAGCCUUGAUAUCAGGAAGCUGUGCAGAUGUGCGUCUGCCCAGAGCGAUUAGAUUGCGGGCUUUUCAAGUCAGUUUCUUUUCUUUUUUGUUUUCCAACCGAGCUGGCACGAUUUUGAAGGACAAUAUCAGUAAUCUUUUUGAUGAUGGUGACGAUGACGGGAGUCACGCAGCAGCUGGAUCAGAACGAGAUACGGAAAAGCAGCCUCACAGCACAUAUUGAAGUCUGACUCUAUCUGAAAUCCCCACAAAGAUGUUACACACCAGCUCUUUCUGUUUUUUUUGUUCCCGUUACAGCACGAGACAAUAUGGAAAUUCUAUUUUUAUUACUGUAAAAUCUAUUUUUGAUUAUUUCCACUUGAAUCUUUGUUGUUAAGCUGCAUUCCAUUGGAUUUCACCAUAUUUUUUUAUUUUUUUUUUUUUGCUCAAAGCUUCCAAGCAUAUGUAUCUCCUUGGAUUGUUGGUCCCAGAAAAAUAUUUUAUUGCCAAAUCGAUCCAUUGAUCACUUUUAGUCAGAUUCUUGGGGUUCGACAGUGGACAGAUGCGGAUGCACAGUAGAGAGAUAUCAUUAAUUCAGAGACGCUCUGUUGGUUCGUCUGCUACAUUGAUUGAUGGGAAAUAAAUGGCUACUGUUUGACGGCCAAUUUAUAGUUUUCAGUCUUUUUUUUUUUUUUUUCCCAGAUAAAAAUAUCUGAUGGUGGCAAGAUAGUAAAUCAAAUAUAUGCUGAUGAUGUUUGAACUUAAAAAACGUGAUGCUCAGAGUUUAGAUUAAAUUACAGCAGGUAUUUAUGAAAUAAUCUGCAAAGGAUGCGUUUCAAAUCUGAUCAUAUUAUGUUAAUAGGACAAAUAGUCUGUUAUUUAAAGCGUAGCAGCAGAUAAAGCUAAGUACAUGUGCAUAGUAGCUACAAUACAAUAUUAUGUGCGUCUGUAACCUAAUGUGUGCUGUGUGGUACUGCUAACUGAGACACAAUAAACUGUACUUUGCAACAUAUUCUUGUUUUCAUUUUUUAUAGUCUGAAUACGUUCAGCUCCAUGUUUGUGUUAGCCUGCUGUCUUUGUUGUGUCUUUGUGUGUACCUACCUUUGCAUUUGCACAUACUCCAAGAACUACUGAGAUGGCUUUGAUCGUGCUUUAUUCCAUUUUUACAGUGUGCUACAUCUUUCAAGGGUCACCAGAGUUUCCUUUUGUCAGGUCAUGCAAAGUGCUUUGUGAUUUAUUUAUUUUUUUUAUUUUUUUAUCAUAGUAGUUGUAUCGACAUCUAAAUACUACAGCUCCUGGAGCAUCACUCAAUUUACAAAGUCACUGUGACGUGAUGGUCAGACUGUGACAUACGUGGCGUGGGCCAAGCUUCAGGGCUGAUUUCCUGCUUCUUCUUUUUUUUUUUUUUUUUACUGUGACAUUAGACCACACGUGGCCUGUUGCGACCUGCCCAACAAACUCAUCACCAGCUCUCGGCUCACGUCUCAGAUCACACUUUCCCACCAGCUAAUGUGUCUCGUUAAUACAUGUGAAUAUGCUCAGAUUGUGUAUUGUCAUCCAGUUGCUAGUCUGAUAUUUACGGGAAUGAUGUAACACAUUUUGCGUGUUGUCACUAGCAGGGCUGGAGUGUCUUGUCCACAUCGAUGAAUCUGCAUUAAAGUGUGCACAUCUUCAACUGUAUUCUUUUCUCCUCCCGAAUAAAUACACAAUUGAUGUCGGAGCACUGCGAUGUGCUCUUCAGACGCCUGUUAUUGAGAUAUAGUGGCGUUAGGGUCGUGUCUAAAUAAAGCCAUACUGCUUUCACUUCACAUGAUUGUCAGUUCCUUUAACCCAAACAGACAUUAAUAGAAGCUCUGAAUGAGUUGUAGCUUUUUUUUUCCCCCUCCAGCUGACAUGUUUUAUAUUUUGUCUUCGGAGGUAUAUUUAUACUUUUUUUUUUUUUUUUUUAAAGCCAGAAUUUGUUUCAAGAUUCAUUUUUUGGCAUGGCUUUUGUUUCUGUGAAGCUGCCAAGAUGUGUAACGGCAUCUUUAAUGCUGGCCGCGAAGAAACGAGCAAUAAAUUGACCUAAAUAAAGAUAAUAAUAAUAAUAAUAAUAGUAAUAAUAAUAAUAAUAAAGACAGGCAAGAUGCUCUUGCGCUUGCACUAAUUGAUCCUAAUUGUUUCAAACUGGAGGUUUGUGUUUGUGUAUGCGAGAUUUGUGUGUUUGUGAAAUUGGUUUUAAUGUGACACCAAUUCAUUAUUAACGAUAAUUGGAUUUACUUUAUUAUGGUAAAUAUUUCAGUAGUGGUGCAAAAUGAAAUGCGCAGGCGUCCAUAAACGUCGUCAAGUCCUGCAAGUUUUUCCUCUCGCUGUCGUGUGGACGAACAGACGAGGCUUCGAUAGCUUCGCCGUGCAGCUGCGCUAAUGCUCUGCACGACACUGCAUGUGAUGUUCAUUCUGAAAUGGAUCCUGAAGUUCUUUGUCUUUCUCUGUCUUGCAGACUAUCAUACCAGGUCAGGACAUGUUGGGAACAUGUCCGUGAACAUGGGCUGGAUGUGAAGUGUCAGCAGCCCAAACCCACUUUUUUCAUUUUCAUUUAGCCGAAGCACACAAACAACUGAAACGUUUCUGUAAAUAGAAAAUAUCUUGUGCUAAUAAAGUGUUUAAAUCUCCUCUC